rnacentral:rRNA from 1 species
UACGUAGGUGGCAAGCGUUGUCCGGAUUUACUGGGCGUAAAGGGCGCGUAGGCGGUCAGCACAAGUCAGUUGUGAAAUCUCCGGGCUUAACUCGGAAAGGUCAACUGAUACUGUGCGACUAGAGUGCAGAAGGGGCAACUGGAAUUCUCGGUGUAGCGGUGAAAUGCGUAGAUAUCGAGAGGAACACCUGCGGCGAAGGCGGGUUGCUGGGCUGACACUGACGCUGAUGCGCGAAAGCCAGGGGAGCGAACGGG